UCCUUGGUGGUCCAGGUGGCUGAGACUCUGCACUCCCAAUGCAGGGAGCCUGGGUUUGAUUCCUGGUCAGGGAA
rfam:Ovis aries breed Texel chromosome 14, whole genome shotgun sequence.